AAUCCCGAGAGGAAGAGCCCAAGAUAGCGGGGGGAGUUGUGACAGGCUGCUGCAGACGUACUUAGAAAAGGGGUGCAUACUGGAUAUUCAGGCCAGGAGAAGAACGCAAAAAGCAGUGACGUACAUUAUUCUCUGCAUAUUUACUUGGGAAAUUGUGCGUCUCCCUAUUCUGAGUCUUGGAGGAAUUGGACUGGUCCAACCUUAUAAAGAGAGCAGUAGAACGCGGCAGUAUAGAGAGUACCUCACGAAGGGGACGUGGGAAAGUGUUAGCGGGGAACGCUGGGAAACUCCCGGCCUCCGCCACCAUCUUGCUUUCCUUUAAUCCGGCAGUGACCGUGUGUCAGAACAAUCUUGAAUCAUGAAGCUACUAACCAGAGCCGGCUCCUUCUCGAGAUUUUAUUCCCUCAAAGUUGCCCCCAAAGUUAAAGCCACAGCUGCGCCUGCAGGAGCACCGCCACAACCUCAGGACCUUGAGUUUACCAAGUUACCAAAUGGCUUGGUGAUUGCUUCUUUGGAAAACUAUUCUCCUAUAUCAAGAAUUGGUUUGUUCAUUAAAGCAGGCAGUAGAUAUGAGGACUUCAACAAUUUAGGAACCACCCAUUUGCUGCGUCUUACAUCCAGUCUGACGACAAAAGGAGCUUCAUCUUUCAAGAUAACCCGUGGAAUUGAAGCAGUUGGUGGCAAAUUAAGUGUGACCGCAACAAGGGAAAACAUGGCUUAUACUGUGGAAUGCCUGCGGGGUGAUGUUGAUAUUCUAAUGGAGUUCCUGCUCAAUGUCACCACAGCACCAGAAUUUCGUCGUUGGGAAGUAGCUGACCUUCAGCCUCAGCUAAAGAUUGACAAAGCUGUGGCCUUUCAGAAUCCGCAGACUCAUGUCAUUGAAAAUUUGCAUGCAGCAGCUUACCGGAAUGCCUUGGCUAAUCCCUUGUAUUGUCCUGACUAUAGGAUUGGAAAAGUGACAUCAGAGGAGUUACAUUACUUCGUUCAGAACCAUUUCACAAGUGCAAGAAUGGCUUUGAUUGGACUUGGUGUGAGUCAUCCUGUUCUAAAGCAAGUUGCUGAACAGUUUCUCAACAUGAGGGGUGGGCUUGGUUUAUCUGGUGCAAAGGCCAACUACCGUGGAGGUGAAAUCCGAGAACAGAAUGGAGACAGUCUUGUCCAUGCUGCUUUUGUAGCAGAAAGUGCUGUCGCGGGAAGUGCAGAGGCAAAUGCAUUUAGUGUUCUUCAGCAUGUCCUCGGUGCUGGGCCACAUGUCAAGAGGGGCAGCAACACCACCAGCCAUCUGCACCAGGCUGUUGCCAAGGCAACUCAGCAGCCAUUUGAUGUUUCUGCAUUUAAUGCCAGUUACUCAGAUUCUGGACUCUUUGGGAUUUAUACUAUCUCCCAGGCCACAGCUGCUGGAGAUGUUAUCAAGGCUGCCUAUAAUCAAGUAAAAACAAUAGCUCAAGGAAACCUUUCCAACACAGACGUCCAAGCUGCCAAAGGAACUGGCUUGACUACUUCACCCUUGGUGGAAACAAACAGGCCCUAAAAGAGGCAGCAACAGCUGAAGUGGAUAUCACAGAAAUAAACAGACAGCAGAAGCUCUUCAGACACCCCCGAAACCUGCCAAAACUCACAGGUAAUACAAGUGAAACGAUAGCAUAAGAAGAAAAUAAACAUGAGAAUCUUCAAACUACAAGCAUUGAACGGUAUCCUCCAUCCAAGAAGAGAACCCACUUCAUACAAGGAAAAGGCAAAAGGAAAAGGUCAAGACUGUGACCUUUAUAACACUGUGACCCCAGCUGUGGGCCAGGUGGAGUUGUCUGUGGUGACACCAAGUACAGGCCUGACACCCUGGUUUGACAGAAGGCUCUUCAAGAUCCCUGGUCUUCACACUGUAGCAGCCAAAAGGAACAAGCUGAAAGCUGGAUACCUAAUGUCAGUGGAGUCUUCUGAGUGUUUCCUGGAAGAAGUCGGGUCCCAGGCUCUAGUUGCUGGUUCUUACGUGCCACCAUCCACAGUCCUUCAGCAGAUUGAUUCAGUGGCUAAUGCUGAUAUCAUAAAUGCUGCAAAGAAGUUUGUUUCUGGCCAGAAGUCGAUGGCAGCAAGUGGAAAUUUGGGACAUACACCUUUUGUUGAUGAGUUGUAAUACUGAUGCACACAUUACAGGAGAGAGCUGAACAUUCUCUCAGCCCAGAGCAGCAAACACAUGAAAGUCAGAAGUCUCUAAUAUAUCAUUUGUCUUUUUUCCAGUGAGGUAAAAUAAGGCAUAAAUGCAGGUAAUUAUUCCCAGCUGACCUAAAGUCAAUAAAACAUUCUGUUUAAGUGUU